GAUGAACGCUGGCUGCGUGCCUAAUACAUGCAAGUCGAGCGAAGCGGGCCCGGGUGAGUAACACGUGGAUAACCUCCUAUAAGACUGGGAUAACUUCGGGAAACCGGAGCUAAACCGGAUACUUAUAUAUGGUUCCGCGCUGCAUUAGCUAGUUGGUAAGGUAACGGCUUACCAAGGCAACGAUGCAUAGCCGACCUGAGAGGGUGAUCAGCGACACUAGAACUGAAACACGGUCCAGACUCCCACGAAAGGCGGCGGUAGGGAAUCUUCCGCUAUGGACGAAAGCCUGGCGGAGCAACGCCGCGUAGGUGAUGAAGGUCAUCAGAUCGUGAAGCUCUGUUAAUAGGGAAGCGGUACCUUAUCAAAAAGGCACGGCUAACUACGUGCCAGCAGCCGCGGUAAUAC
rnacentral:rRNA from 1 species